rnacentral:rRNA from 1 species
AACGAACGCUGGCGGCAUGCCUAACACAUGCAAGUCGAACGAAACCUUCGGGUCUAGUGGCGCACGGGUUCGUAACGCGUGGGAACCUUCCCUUAGGGUCGGAAUAACUCCCCGAAAGGGGUGCUAAUACCGGAUAAUGUCUUCGGACCAAAGAUUUAUCGCCUUUGGAUGGGCCCUCGUUGGAUUAGCUAGUUGUUAGGGUAAAAGCCUACCAAGGCGACGAUGCAUAGCUGGUUAGAGAGGAAGAUCAGCCACACUGGGACUGAGACACGGCCCAGACUCCUACGGGAGGCAGCAGUGGGGAAUAUUGGACCAUGGGGGAAAGCAUGAUGCAGCAAUGACGCGUGAGUGAUGAAGGCCUUAGGGUUGUAAAGCUCUUUUAACCGGGAUGAUAAUGACAGUACCGGGAGAAUAAGCUCCGGCUAACUCCGUG